GAUGAUAAUGAAGUUGGAAGAAAUAGAAGUCAAGAUCAAGUGUCAAAGAAGGUAAAUCAUAGUGUGCCUUCAAUUGCUAAACCAACGAUGAAGACAAUGAAGAUAUUGAAGGUGAUAAUAAUGAUGAAGAAUAUCAACCUUUGAGUGAGAAAAGAUAAGUAUUGAGGAAGAAGAAGGAUAGAAUGCAAGAAGAAAGAUCUUCUUC
rnacentral:lncRNA from 1 species